GAUGAACGCUGGCGGCGUGCCUAAUACAUGCAAGUCGAGCGAACAGAUGAGGAGCUUGCUCCUCUGACGUUAGCGGCGGACGGGUGAGUAACACGUGGAUAACCUACCUAUAAGACUGGGAUAACUUCGGGAAACCGGAGCUAAUACCGGAUAAUAUAUUGAACCGCAUGGUUCAAUAGUGAAAGACGGUUUUGCUGUCACUUAUAGAUGGAUCCGCGCCGCAUUAGCUAGUUGGUAAGGUAACGGCUUACCAAGGCAACGAUGCGUAGCCGACCUGAGAGGUUGAUCGGCCACACUGGAACUGAGACACGGUCCAGACUCCUACGGGAGGCAGCAGUAGGGAUUCUUCCGCAAUGGGCGAAAGCCUGACGGAGCAACGCCGCGUGAGUGAUGAAGGUCUUCGGAUCGUAAAACUCUGUUAUUAGGGAAGAACAAAUGUGUAAGUAACUAUGCACGUCUUGACGGUACCUAAUCAGAAAGCCACGGCUAACUACGUG
rnacentral:rRNA from 1 species